GUAAAGGUUUCGACAGGGAUCUUGAAGGUGGAGAAGCUAUCCGACGCCGAUCGUCAAACGGCAAACCUAAAAAUAAACGCUAACAAUAAAAAAUUAGCACUCGCAGCCUAAGUGCUGCGUGCCGCCCGCAGGACACCUGCAUCCUGCGGAUACGGUAUCAUGAAAGCAGGAAACGACAUAAGCUAAGCUUUGCGCUUAUGGGCGUAUCAUGAAGCUACCGAACGCGGAAAGGUGUCUGCUUCCUGCCGCGGGAGGGAAAGGCAAAGCCUUAGGGCCGCGCAAAUGGGCAGACUAUGAUAGUAGAAGUACGCUGAACGGGUCUUUGGACGCGGGUUCGAUUCCCGCCUAAUCCA
rnacentral:tmRNA from 1 species